AUGUGGGGAAUAAAAUGCAAGAAAGGCCUGCUCCAGCUCACACAAAACACAACUUCUCACACUCUCUCUCUUAAUUUUUCCAUUUCUUCCAAACUUGCCCUCCAAUCAAAAUAUGACCAUGGUUACUUCUUGGCACCACUCUACACACUCUAUUUAACUUAUUCCUUCCUUUAUUUCAUUCACACACACGCGCGCACACACACACAGACACACACGCAAUAG